rnacentral:rRNA from 1 species
AAUGAACGCUGGCGGCAGGCCUAACACAUGCAAGUCGAACGGAUCCUUCGGGAUUAGUGGCGGACGGGUGAGUAACGCGUGGGAACAUACCCAAAGGUACGGAAUAGCCUCGGGAAACUGGGAGUAAUACCGUAUGUGCUCGAAAGAGGAAAGAUUUAUCGCCUUUGGAUGGGCCCGCGUUGGAUUAGGUAGUUGGUGGGGUAAUGGCCUACCAAGCCGACGAUCCAUAGCUGGUUUGAGAGGGUGAUCAGCCACACUGGGAAUGAGACACGGCGCAGACGACUAGGGGAGUUAGAGGUGUGGAAUCUUAGACAAGGGGGGAAGCCCUGAUCGAGCCAUGGCGGGUGGUCAAUGAAGGCCUUAGGGUUGUAACGAUCUUGCAGGUGGGAAGAGAAUAACUGUGCCUCCAGGAGAAGCCCCGGCUAACUCCGUGGCAGAAGCCGCCGUAA